rnacentral:rRNA from 1 species
UACGAAGGGUGCAAACGUUAUUCGGAAUCACUGGGCGUAAAGGGUGCGUAGACGGUAUGUUAAGUUCGUUGUUAAAGGCUCCGGCCCAACCGGAGUAUUGCGAUGAAAACUGGCACACUAGAGGGUGAGAGAGAGAAGUGGAAUUCCCGGAGUAGCGGUAAAAUGCGUGGAUCUCGGGAGGAACACCAAUGGCGAAGGCAGCUUCUUGGCUCAUACCUGACGUUGAGGCACGAAAGCGUGGGGAGCAAACAGG